GAUGAACGCUGGCGGCGUGCCUAAUACAUGCAAGUCGAGCGAACAGACGAGGAUCUUGCUCCUCUGACGUUAGCGGCGGACGGGUGAGUAACACGUGGAUAACCUACCUAUAAGACUGGGAUAACUUCGGGAAACCGGCGCUAAUACCGUAUAAUAUAUUGAACCGCAUGGUUCAAUAGUGAAAGACGGUUUUGCUGUCACUUCUAGAUGGAUCCGCGCCGCAUUAGCUAGUUGGUAAGGUAACGGCUUAUCAAGGCGACGAUGCGUAGCCGACCUGAGAGGGUGAUAGGCCACACUGGAACUGAGACACGGUCCAGACUACUAAGGGAGGCAGCAGUAGGGAAUCGUACGCAAUGGGCGAAAGCAUGACGGAGCAACGCCGCGUGAGAGAUGAAGGUCUUCGGAUCGUAAAAAUCUGUUAUUAGGGAAGAACAAAUGUGUAAGUAACUAUGCACGUCGUGACGGUAACUAAUCAGAAAGCCACGGCUAACUACGUG
rnacentral:rRNA from 1 species